GAUGAACGCUGGCGGCGUGCCUAAUACAUGCAAGUCGAGCGAACGGACGAGAAGCUUGCUUCUCUGAUGUUAGCGGCGGACGGGUGAGUAACACGUGGAUAACCUACCUAUAAGACUGGGAUAACUUCGGGAAACCGGAGCUAAUACCGGAUAAUAUUUUGAACCGCAUGGUUCAAAAGUGAAAGACGGUCUUGCUGUCACUUAUAGAUGGAUCCGCGCUGCAUUAGCUAGUUGGUAAGGUAACGGCUUACCAAGGCAACGAUGCAUAGCCGACCUGAGAGGGUGAUCGGCCACACUGGAGCUGAGACACGGUCCAGACUACUACGGGAGGCAGCAGUAGGGAAUCUUCCGCAAAGGGCGAAAGCCUGACGGAGCAACGCCGCGUGAGUGAUGAAGGUCUUCGGAUCGUAAAACUCUGUUAUUAGGGAAGAACAUAUGUGUAAGUAACUGUGCACAUCUUGACGGUACCUAAUCAGAAAGCCACGGCUAACUACGUG
rnacentral:rRNA from 1 species